CAAUAGCGUAUAUUAAAGUUGUUGCAGUUAAAAAGCUCGUAGUUGGAUUUCUGGUUGAAGCGACCGGUCGGGCGUUGAUUCGUCUGCACUGGAGUCGGUUUUGGCCAUCCUCUAGGAAAGUGCGUCUGGUAUUAAGUUAUCGGGCGUAUGAUCCUGGUCUUUUACUGUGAAAAAAUUAGAGUGUUUAAAGCAGGCCUUCGCCUUGAAUACAUUAGCAUGGAAUAAUAAGAUAGGACUUUGGUCUACUUUGUUGGUUUGCAGACCGAAGUAAUGAUUAAUAGGGAUAGUUGGGGGUAUUUAUAUUCCGAUGUCAGAGGUGAAAUUCUUAGAUUUUCGGAAGAUAAACUUAUGCGAAAGCAUUUACCAAGGAUGUUUUCAUUAA
rnacentral:rRNA from 1 species